CCCAGCCUCUAUCGGGUUUUCCAGUCGAAGGACGAACUGAUCGCGGCCUACGCAGAAGCCCACGACCAACGGUUCUGGGACAAAUGGAAUAAGGCCGCCGAGGCUCAUCAGGACAGCCCGCUCGAUCAGAUCNCCGCGCUCGACGACGUGGCGGAGAGCAUCGCGCGCCCGGCGUAUCGCGGGUGUCCGAUGAUCAAUCUGGCGGUGGAAAUUCCCGACGAAACUCAUCCGGCACGCAUCAUGG
rnacentral:misc_RNA from 1 species